AACGAACGCUGGCGGCAGGCCUAACACAUGCAAGUCGAGCGCGCCUUCGGGUGAGCGGCGGACGGGUUAGUAACGCGUGGGAACGUGCCCUUCUCUACGGAAUAGCCUCUGGAAACGGAGAGUAAUACCGUAUACGCCCUUUAGGGGAAAGAUUUAUCGGAGAAGGAUCGGCCCGCGUUAGAUUAGGUAGUUGGUGGGGUAACGGCCUACCAAGCCUACGAUCUAUAGCUGGUUUUAGAGGAUGAUCAGCAACACUGGGACUGAGACACGGCCCAGACUCCUACGGGAGGCAGCAGUGGGGAAUCUUAGACAAUGGGGGCAACCCUGAUCUAGCCAUGCCGCGUGAGUGAUGAAGGCCUUAGGGU
rnacentral:rRNA from 1 species